CGCGUAGGCGGUCUUUUAAGUCAGGUGUGAAAGCCCGGGGCUCAACCCCGGAAGUGCACUUGAAACUAAGAGACUUGAGUAUGGGAGAGGGAAGUGGAAUUCCUGGUGUAGCGGUGAAAUGCGUAGAUGUCAGGAGGAACAUCAGUGGCGAAGGCGACUUCCUGGACCAAUACUGACGCUGAGGCGCGAAGGCGUGGGGAGCAAACA
rnacentral:rRNA from 1 species